AGAGUUUGAUCAUGGCUCAGAUUGAACGCUGGCGGAAUGCUUUACACAUGCAAGUCGAGCGGGCGUAGCAAUACGUCAGCGGCAGACGGGUGAGUAACGCGUGGGAACGUACCUUUUGGUUCGGAACAACACAGGGAAACUUGUGCUAAUACCGGAUAAGCCCUUACGGGGAAAGAUUUAUCGCCGAAAGAUCGGCCCGCGUCUGAUUAGCUAGUUGGUGAGGUAACGGCUCACCAAGGCGACGAUCAGUAGCUGGUCUGAGAGGAUGAUCAGCCACAUUGGGACUGAGACACGGCCCAAACUCCUACGGGAGGCAGCAGUGGGGAAUAUUGGACAAUGGGCGCAAGCCUGAUCCAGCCAUGCCGCGUGAGUGAUGAAGGCCCUAGGGUUGUAAAGCUCUUUUGUGCGGGAAGAUAAUGACGGUACCGCAAGAAUAAGCCCCGGCUAACUUCGUGCCAGCAGCCGCGGUAAUACGAAGGGGGCUAGCGUUGCUCGGAAUCACUGGGCGUAAAGGGUGCGUAGGCGGGUCUUUAAGUCAGGGGUGAAAUCCUGGAGCUCAACUCCAGAACUGCCUUUGAUACUGAGGAUCUUGAGUUCGGGAGAGGUGAGUGGAACUGCGAGUGUAGAGGUGAAAUUCGUAGAUAUUCGCAAGAACACCAGUGGCGAAGGCGGCUCACUGGCCCGAUACUGACGCUGAGGCACGAAAGCGUGGGGAGCAAACAGGAUUAGAUACCCUAGUAGUCC
rnacentral:rRNA from 1 species